rnacentral:tRNA from 1 species
GGCUCAGUCAGUUGAGCGCCUGACUUUGGCUCAGGUCAUGAUCUCACGGUUCAGUUUGUGGGUUCGAGCCCCAC